rnacentral:rRNA from 1 species
AGCGAACAGACGAGGAGCUUGCUCCUCUGACGUUAGCGGCGGACGGGUGAGUAACACGUGGAUAACCUACCUAUAAGACUGGGAUAACUUCGGGAAACCGGAGCUAAUACCGGAUAAUAUAUUGAACCGCAUGGUUCAAUAGUGAAAGACGGUUUUGCUGUCACUUAUAGAUGGAUCCGCGCCGCAUUAGCUAGUUGGUAAGGUAACGGCUUACCAAGGCAACGAUGCGUAGCCGACCUGAGAGGGUGAUCGGCCACACUGGAACUGAGACACGGUCCAGACUCCUACGGGAGGCAGCAGUAGGGAAUCUUCCGCAAUGGGCGAAAGCCUGACGGAGCAACGCCGCGUGAGUGAUGAAGGUCUUCGGAUCGUAAAACUCUGUUAUUAGGGAAGAACAAAUGUGUAAGUAACUAUGCACGUCUUGACGGUACCUAAUCAGAAAGCCACGGCUAACUACGUGCCAGCAGCCGCGGUAAUACGUAGGUGGCAAGCGUUAUCCGGAAUUAUUGGGCGUAAAGCGCGCGUAGGCGGUUUUUUAAGUCUGAUGUGAAAGCCCACGGCUCAACCGUGGAGGGUCAUUGGAAACUGGAAAACUUGAGUGCAGAAGAGGAAAGUGGAAUUCCAUGUGUAGCGGUGAAAUGCGCAGAGAUAUGGAGGAACACCAGUGGCGAAGGCGACUUUCUGGUCUGUAACUGACGCUGAUGUGCGAAAGCGUGGGGAUCAAACAGGAUUAGAUACCCUGGUAGUCCACGCCGUAAACGAUGAGUGCUAAUGGUUAAGGGGGUUUCCGCCCCUUAGUGCUGCAGCUAACGCAUUAAGCACUCCGCCUGGGGAGUACGACCGCAAGGUUGAAACUCAAAGGAAUUGACG